CUAAGACUGGAUAGGAGACAAGAAGGCAUCUUCUUGUUUUUAAAAGACCUAGCAAUAGGUAUGCUUAGGGAGGAGCUUGCGUCACAUUAGUUAGUUGGUGGGGUAAAGGCCUACCAAGACUAUGAUGUGUAGCCGGGCUGAGAGGUUGAACGGCCACAUUGGGACUGAGACACGGCCCAAACUCCUACGGGAGGCAGCAGUAGGGAAUUUUCGGCAAUGGAGGAAACUCUGACCGAGCAACGCCGCGUGAACGAUGAAGUAUUUCGGUACGUAAAGUUCUUUUAUUAGCGAAGAAUAAAUGAUGGAAAAAUCAUUCUGACGGUACCUAAUGAAUAAGCGCCGGCUAACUAUGUGCCAGCAGCCGCGGUAUUACAUAGGGGGCAAGCGUUAUCCGGAAUUAUUGGGCGUAAAGGGUGCGUAGGCGGUUAAAUAAGUAAAUGGUCUAAGUGCAAUGCUCAACAUUGUGAUGCUAUAAAAACUGUUUAGCUAGAGUAAGAUAGAGGCAAGUGGAAUUCCAUGUGUAGUGGUAAAAUGCGUAAAUAUAUGGAGGAACACCAGUAGCGAAGGCGGCUUGCUGGGUCUUUACUGACGCUGAGGCACGAAAGCGUGGGGAGCAAACAGGAUUAGAUACCCUGGUAGUCCACGCCGUAAACGAUGAGUACUAAACGUUGGGUAAAACCAGUGUUGAAGUUUUCACAUUAAGUACUCCGCCUGAGUAGUACGUACGCAAGUAUGAAAGUUAAAGGAAUUGACGGGACUCCGCACAAGCGGUGGAUCAUGUUGUUUAAUUCGAAGGUACCCGAAAAACCUCACCAGGUCUUGACAUGCUUCUGCAAAGCUGUAGAAACACAGUGGAGGUUAUCAGUUGCACAGGUGGUGCAUGGUUGUCGUCAGCUCGUGUCGUGAGAUGUUGGGUUAAGUCCCGCAACGAGCGCAACCCUUAUUGUUAGUUACCAGCACGUAAUGGUGGGGACUUUAGCAAGACUGCCAGUGAUAAAUUGGAGGAAGGUGGGGACGACGUCAAAUCAUCAUGCCCCUUAUGGACCUGGGCUACAAACGUGAUACAAUGGCUGUUACAAAGGGUAGCUGAAGCGCAAGUUUUUGGCGAAUCUCAAAAAAACAGUCUCAGUUCGGAUUGAAGUCUGCAACUCGACUUCAUGAAGUUGGAAUCGCUAGUAAUCGCGAAUCAGCAUGUCGCGGUGAAUACGUU
rnacentral:rRNA from 1 species